UUGAUUACUUAACAGUCUAAGUUUUCCUUGGAGCUCAGCCAACAUAUGGCUUACAUAUAGAGUGAUGCCAGCAGGACACAGAAUCUGUACAACCACCACCUCCUCUCUGGAGAGUCUCCUGAGCUUCCUGAAAAACCUUUGCUGAGAGUUAACACCACUGUGGACUAUGAUACAGCAGGGAAAGAGCAAUGAGCAGCCCGGAAAAGCAGAAGAACCCGUUGAACAACCCCGGAAACCUUCUGCCGAUAGUCUCUCUCAAUUUUUAAUGAAAAAAAUAUGAAAGCCCUUCCUGGUAAGAAUGCUCUAAGUACGCGUCUGAUGUCCCACACUAAAUCACAGUACCCAUCAGCAGACAGAGGAAUCAAGACAGACAUGCAAAAAGAUUAAGUAAAACGGGCUGAUCAUUAUGGCACUUCAUAAGUUAUUGAAGAAGGAAGCAUUGCUAAAGUUAUUCCAGAAGGCAAACUGACCUAAACACAAUGGAAAAUAACCGACAAACUCUCAUAGCCUGUGUCUUUUGUUACUACACUUUUUUUUUUGCUACAUUCCCCUUUAUUUAUAAUUUAGUUAAAAAUAAAUAAAAGCAGCACUGAUUUUACUUCCAAAGAUGCUUACUUCACUAAGAAAUGCUGGCUGAGGACAGUAUAAGGGUGGUGCAGGAAGAUAUAAGCCAUCAGGCACCAAACCAUUAAAUUUUCUGCUAAGAUCCUUGGCAGAGUCCACCAAAAGCUGAAAUGUCUCUGAGAGAAUAUCUGCUUCUGCCAUA